GUGUAUGGUCCUUUCCUUCUCUGAAGAACAAGUACUGCAUAGGCAGCAGAACUGCAAGCUUCUCCACAAAGCCCUGCCAAUGUGCCUCAAGCUGCAUAGGGAACAACUUUUAGGGAUCUAAAGAUCCCUGCAGAGAUUUCACCUCC
rnacentral:sRNA from 1 species